AACAGGAUUAGAUACCCUGGUAGUCCACGCCGUAAACGAUGUCGACUUGGAGGUUGUGCCCUUGAGGCGUGGCUUCCGGAGCUAACGCGUUAAAUAGACCGCCUGGGGAGUACGGCCGCAAGGUUAAAACUCAAAUGAAUUGACGGGGGCCCGCACAAGCGGUGGAGCAUGUGGUUUAAUUCGAUGCAACGCGAAGAACCUUACCUGGUCUUGACAUCCACAGAACUUGCCAGAGAUGGCUUGGUGCCUUCGGGAACUGUGAGACAGGUGCUGCAUGGCUGUCGUCAGCUCGUGUUGUGAAAUGUUGGGUUAAGUCCCGCAACGAGCGCAACCCUUAUCCUUUGUUGCCAGCGGUCCGGCCGGGAACUCAAAGGAGACUGCCAGUGAUAAACUGGAGGAAGGUGGGGAUGACGUCAAGUCAUCAUGGCCCUUACGACCAGGGCUACACACGUGCUACAAUGGCGCAUACAAAGAGAAGCGACCUCGCGAGAGCAAGCGGACCUCAUAAAGUGCGUCGUAGUCCGGAUUGGAGUCUGCAACUCGACUCCAUGAAGUCGGAAUCGCUAGUAAUCGUGGAUCAGAAUGCCACGGUGAAUACGUUCCCGGGCCUUGUACACACCGCCCGUCACACCAUGGGAGUGGGUUGCAAAAGAAGUAGGUAGCUUAACCUUCGGGAGGGCGCUUACCACUUUGUGAUUCAUGACUGGGGUGAAGUCGUAACAAGGUAACC
rnacentral:rRNA from 1 species